UGGGGAAUAUUGCACAAUGGGCGCAAGCCUGAUGCAGCCAUGCCGCGUGUGUGAAGAAGGCCUUCGGGUUGUAAAGCACUUUCAGCGGGGAGGAAGGCGAUAAGGUUAAUAACCUUGUCGAUUGACGUUACCCGCAGAAGAAGCACCGGCUAACUCCGUGCCAGCAGCCGCGGUAAAACGGAGGGUGCAAGCGUUAAUCGGAAUUACUGGGCGUAAAGCGCACGCAGGCGGUCUGUCAAGUCGGAUGUGAAAUCCCCGGGCUUAACCUGGGAAAUGCAUUCGAAACUGGCAGGCUAUAGUCUUGUAGAGGGGGGUAGUAUUCCAGGUGUAGCGGUGAAAUGCGUAGAGAUCUGGAGGAAUACCGGUGGCGAAGGCGGCACCCUGGACAAAGACUAACGCUCAGGUGCGAAAGCGUGGGGAGCAAACAGG
rnacentral:rRNA from 1 species